rnacentral:lncRNA from 1 species
UAGGAGGGCAUUUUGGGGUUGUUUCGGGGCAUUUUGGGUGUCCUUUUGUGGGUUUUGGGGCCGUUUUGGGUCCUUUUGGGCCGUUUUCGGGCGCUGCUGACGCUGCCCCGCAGACAUGCGGCGGGACGUGCAGGAGACGUGGGGUUUUGGGGCCAUUUUGGGGCAUUUUGGGGUGUUUUUGGUGCUGACGCUGCCCCGCAGACAUGCGGCGGGACAUGCAGGAGAUGUGGGGUUUGGGGGCUGGUUUUGGGGCAUUUUGGGGCCAUUUUGGGGCAUUUUGGGCGCUGCUGACGCUGCCCCGCAGACAUGCGGCGGGACAUGCAGGAGAUUUGGGGUUGGUUUUGGGGCAUUUUGGGGUGUUUUUUGGUGCUGACGCUGCCCCGCAGACAUGCGGCGGGACGUGCAGGAGAUUUUCCGCAUGACGCCGCACGAGAAGCAGGUGAUGAUGUUCAGCGCCACGCUCAGCAAGGAGAUCCGCCCCGUCUGCCGCAAGUUCAUGCAGGACGUGAGCGCUGAACCCCAAAUUCCUCACCCCCCAAAAUCCCUCACACCCCCCCAAAAUCCCUCACAACCCCCAAAAAAACCCUGACCCCCCAACCCCCAAAUUCCUGCUCCCCCUCUCCUUCCUCCUCCUCCCCGGCGCAAGGAGACAGAGGCAAGGGACCCCCCAGACCCCUCCUGUGACCCCUCCAGACCCCUCCCCAAAUUCCUGACCCCCCUGCGACUCCCCCCCAAAAUUCCUGACCCCUCCCAGCCCCCAAAU